rnacentral:rRNA from 1 species
AGUAGAACGCUGAAGCUUGGUGCUUGCACCGAGCGGAUGAGUUGCGAACGGGUGAGUAACGCGUAGGUAACCUGCCUCUUAGCGGGGGAUAACUAUUGGAAACGAUAGCUAAUACCGCAUAAAAGUUGACAUUGCAUGAUGUUGAUUUGAAAGAUGCAAUUGCAUCACUAAGAGAUGGACCUGCGUUGUAUUAGCUAGUUGGUGAAGUAACGGCUCACCAAGGCGACGAUACAUAGCCGACCUGAGAGGGUGAUCGGCCACACUGGGACUGAGACACGGCCCAGACUCCUACGGGAGGCAGCAGUAGGGAAUCUUCGGCAAUGGACGGAAGUCUGACCGAGCAACGCCGCGUGAGUGAAGAAGGUUUUCGGAUCGUAAAGCUCUGUUGUAAGAGAAGAACGAGUGUGAGAAUGGAAAGUUCACACUGUGACGGUAACUUACCAGAAAGGGACGGCUAACUACGUGCCAGCAGCCGCGGUAAUACGUAGGUCCCGAGCGUUAUCCGGAUUUAUUGGGCGUAAAGCGAGCGCAGGCGGUUAGAUAAGUCUGAAGUUAAAGGCUGUGGCUUAACCAUAGUACGCUUUGGAAACUGUUUAACUUGAGUGCAGAAGGGGAGAGUGGAAUUCCAUGUGUAGCGGUGAAAUGCGUAGAUAUAUGGAGGAACACCGGUGGCGAAAGCGGCUCUCUGGUCUGUAACUGACGCUGAGGCUCGAAAGCGUGGGGAGCAAACAGGAUUAGAUAACCUGGUAGUCCACGCCGUAAACGAUGAGUGCUAGGUGUUGGGUCCUUUCCGGGACUCAGUGCCGCAGCUAACGCAUUA